UGUUUAAUUUUUCAAGGAAUCUCCAUACUGUUUUCCACAUCAGGUGAACCAUCAUCCAUUCCCACAAGCAGUGCACAAGGGUACCAAUUUCUACACAUCCUUGCCAAGACUUACGUUGUUUUUUUUUAUAGUAGCCAUCCUAUGAGGAGGAGUAUUUCUUUUCUUAAGCCCACGUUUUAAAAGUGAAAGUUUCACAAAGUUUAUAGUUUCCACAUAAAAUAUGUUCACGAGGUGCCUCAGAUGACUGAGCCCCACAUGGGACCACUGCCAGGCUGAGGCCCCCUUCCAGGCCUCCCUGGAUGGCCCACGUCACUCCCUUCCUCUGGAAGGGGACUUAGAAGCAUUUUCAGGAGGUGCUUCUGACACGGUCUGAAAAAAAUGGGAAGCUCUCAGCACACUGAUCCACAUUGCAGCCUGGCAACAAUCAGCAGGACUGGGUAGGCACUGCCCCUUUUCAGGUGGGGUCUGUGUCCUCCAGGUGGCCAGACUGCCCUGCCUGGCCUGGUGCCUGUGCAUUCUGUGUGUGAGAGCUCUGGUCUCGUCCUUCCUCACCCUCAUUCCACACACAUCCAUUGUAUAAUGGGAAAGUGAUGGCUUUGUAAUGGCUAGGCUGAACUACAUUUCCCCGAACUCCCUUACUUUUCUGUUUCACAUUAGGGUGAGCCACAAGGCAUAUUCUUGCCCGAUUUGGAAGGAAGGAACCAUUUGGGUUGCUGAUCUGCUGAUUUACCUCCUUGGUGUGAAGCAGCCCCUGGGCCUGCAAUUACUCUACAUUCCCUGGAUUCUCCUUCAGUUUUACUGACUCCUGGGCCAAGUGUGUGCAUGGUUAGCUGUGUUACAAAGGGUCUCAACUUCUGCAGGAUACCCUCAUCACCAAGGUCAAAGGCAACAAGCACCAACACAAGUGUCAGUCCAUCCUGGUGUUCCAGCUUAUGCCGGUGGUGUUUCAGCCUGCUCAUGUUCUUCCCCUCCUGAUUGUGUACCUCAGACUCCAGCAUCAGUCACAAAGAUUCAGGCUUACAGAAACUGCUGCGAUUGUACGUCAAAGUUAAAGUAAAGUAGCCAGUUAGCAGCAAAAGGAGUUGAUUCAGGAACAACCAGAGGAAUUGCAAUUCAGGAAAUGCAAUGCAAGGCAAACCAUAGGCAAAUCAGAGAACAAAGGUGGGGAGCUUGCUUUUAUAGAGAAAAAGGGGGAGUUGGGUGCGGCUGUUCUAAAGGAAAGGUCAUUGGAAGAAAGUGAGAGUUCAGGGUGGUGACAGCUUUUCAUUGGCUCAGCUGUUGCUGGGCAAGGAGAAAACCUUCCUUCCUCCUGCUGGAGUAGUAAAGUAGUUUCAAUUCCUGCCCAAAAUUGUAAAGUGAGAUGUGUAUGUGAGAGUUUCCUUUACAGGGUUUCCUGACUCCAUUUUAAAUGAGAUUUCCCUUUAUUGUCACAUGUACAAGCCAGUUUCCUGUAACCAGUCCAGUAUUUAGGUGUAUAUGUGCCUAUAUCCUUCUGGGUCUGCUUCUCCCUUGAACUCUGACUGACAUGGGAACUUGAACACCUGCUGACUUUUCCUGCCUCAUGUCCUGUCAGUCUACUUGCUGCUUUCACCAUUCCCCAAUUCAGGAGCUUUUCCCCUACUUUUUUCCUGCCCUCCCUUUUUCCCUACCCGAGAGCCUGUGCCAGUGCUGCUCCAGCCUGGAAUGUCACUACCCCAAAGCUGCUGGUUUGUCUGUCCUCAGGCACGUGGCUGAGCUCCUCGAGAACAGGGAGUAGGUGUGAUAGGUCCCCAUCCCUGCUUCUGCUCAACCAGGAUGUGCUGAAUGAAUGACUGUGGACUAGGCCCUUGACGUAGGAGAUUUCAUUCCUUUCUCAGAAUACCUCUGCAAGUAUCACUGCCCUCAUUUGCAAGUGCAAGUGGCCCCAGUAGCAGUUGCUGUGGAAAGAACCAAGGCCUCUUGGCUGCCUCAUGACUGGUGGAGCUGCCAGAACAGCUAAUGUGCCCUCUGGCCACAUCACCCAAGGUCUGAUGCCUGGGACAGAGAGAUGUCAGUACCCCUUGUGCCCAACAGGUUGUGUGCUCAGUGCUAAGCCUGGCCAUGGCAGAGGACAGGUUCAGCUAGGUUGGUGCACGAGAGUCAGUUGGGUGCAGACCCCAUUCUAUGAGUCGCUAAAGCUGCACAGCCUGGAAAAGGGCCUUUUCAGUGGCUGCAGGGCUGUCUCGGGGCCAGGGAGAAGUCGGAUCUAGGGACCCAGAAGGUAGACCUGAGAUCCUGAAGGGGUUCACAGGGAGGCAGUUCCCAGUUCUAUGAGAGGAAAGAGACAGUAUUGCAGGAGGAGAGAGCGCUAUUCCCAGGGGGGUGUGAGGGAUGGAGGUAGGAAAACCUGGAGACCCUGGUCAGAGGCUCUGUGUUCAGAUGCUCUCUGGUUAGAUGAAAAAAUAAACCUUUCUUGGCUCCAUUUAUAGAUGAGGAAAUUAAGGCUUGGGGAGAACACUCUUGCCCCAGACCAAAAGACCAUGGUGGAGCCAGGCCCAGAACCCUGAUAUCAGCCUCCAGGGCCUGGUCCUGCUUGACCCCUCUCCUGAUCAGUGGGCAGAGAGGUGUCCAGGCCUGGCCCAUUGCUAUGCCCCUAUUUUACAGACAAUCAAAUGCACCUGGUCCUUUCCUUCCUCACUGCACCAGGGUCACCUCCCCCAGGAAGCCUUCCUCCUGGGCCUUGCGGUGUCAUGUGCCGCCAAUGUUCACAUGGAAUUGAGGCUCCUUGAAGCCAAGUCCAAGAGACACAGUAAAUAAAUGGUGAUUCCUGGGCUCUGCAGCCCCAUGCAGGAGCUGAGUAUGAUGUCAGGGCAGGAAAUACAGCCUCCUAGUCUCAGCAAUCACACCAGUAGGAUGAGCUUUUGAACACCUUCCUUACUGGGGCUGAACACCUUCCUUGAUAGGGCUGUCAUAAGGCUGAGAUGAGGCCUGUGCAACCUUCCUCAGAGUGCCUGACACACAUUGAGUGUUCACGUGGGGUUGCUUAUGGCCUUUGGUUCUUCACCUUGGGGUGGGACCCACCCACAGAGGUGCAGCUCGGCUAAACGAUCUGAGCGAACAAACAGGGAAGAGAGGAGGGGAGGGGCCGGUGGGUAGACAGUGGGACACUGGGCGAGUGGUUUCAGAGGACAAACAAUUUGAAGGGAUGACAAGGUCCAGGAUGUGAGCAUUGGAGGGUAAAGUGAGUCAAAAGAGAGACUAGAUUACAAGUAACAGAAACCCAGUUCAAACCAGCUUAUGCAAAAAGCAAUAUAUCAGGUCACAUGACAUUCAGGUAUAAGGUAGCUUCAGGCAUGGCUGGAUCUGGAGGCUCCGUUAAUGUCCUUUGGUAUAUGUCUCUCCAUUUCUUGCUUCCAACUUUCUCUGUCUUGGCUCCUUUUCCAGGCAGGCUCUCCCUACGUGUAGACAAAGAUGGCCACUGGCAACUCUGGCCCCAUGUCCCUACCCUUUAGUGAUCCUGGGGGAGAGCACCUCUUUCUCAGUAGUUCCAGGAAAAGUCCCAGGAUUGACUCUCAUUGAAGCCACUGGAGUCAAGAACUCAUUUCUGACCCAGUCAUUGUGACAAAUUGAAUAACUAACUGAACACUCAUUAGCCAGGUCUUUGAUUCAUGACCAUCCCUGGGACUGGAGGGGUCAGACUCCCAGAACCAUGUGGCCUGAAUAGGGUGGGUUGGGUCGGGUCCCCAGAGGAAAGUUAAAGUGGUCUUCAUUAUCAGAAGAGUGGGAGGCCCCACUGAGGGCUGGUCCACUGGGUAGUCCAGCGUGUCUGGAGGAGGCAGGCCUUGGGGGAGGAAACAGCGAGCUAGCCCAAGUCUUCAAGGAAUGGAGAGGGGGUGACAAGAGAGAGGUGAGGGGCAGCAGCAGCAAAGUAGGAGGCCACUGGAAGAGCCAAGUGGUCUGAGUAGCAAAGGUGGAUUUUGGUGCGAAAUAGGAAAGGCAAUGCUGAACAAGCAUGACCUGAAGGACAUUUUGGAGCCCUGGAGCUCAGGGAUGUCCUCAAAGGGCCGUCAGUCAGCAGGGUGGGGGGCUUUGGUUAGGGAGGGCUCAGAGAAAGGGGUGAAGGUCAGUGUGAAUGGUUGGGCAGGAAGGAGCAGUGUCCACGUGCCCAGGUCCCCUGCAGCAGCGCUGCCCAACCCUCUCUGAACCUCACAGCCACCUGAGAGAUGGUCAGAAAGCCAAGUCUCAGGCCCCAGCCUCAGACUCUAACUUGGAAAACUGGGGUGAGUCCAGAUGGCAUCUGGGCUUGGGUUUCUGGUUUAGAAUGGGAUAGAAUCUGUGGGAUCACAUUUAGGUGGUCCAGAGCACCAUCCCCCAGAAUCCUGAGUAGGCCAAGGUCUCUCAUGGCCUCUACCUGCAGGUGGCCUAUUGACUGGCCCUGCAGGCUGUGUGGGACAGGACCUGUGCUGGCACAGGCCCACUGCCCCCCAGUCAAAACUGCAAAGGAGAUGAAGCUGUUAGUGAUCAGCAUGUGGCCAGGACAUAGGCUGCCAGGAUGGGUAGAGCUGUCACCCGUUGUCCACCAUAGUCCCUCUGUGUCCAGCCUAGGCCUCCUCCUGCCUGCUUUCUGGAUGCCCACUGUUGCCCAGAACCAAAACAUCCACAGCAAAGUCUGGCAUCGCCAUUUCCUCCUUUGCUGUAGCCAGUGCCUCCUGCCGCCAUCAGCCACGGGUCUCCACAUUCAGGGCCCCAUCUGAACUUUUGCCUAGAGAGCAGUGAUGUGCUGAGGGGGGCAUCUGUGACGUGUCUCCCCCACUGGCUGGGGGGGUUGGGCAGGGAAGGCACUUGCGCUGGUUUUGUCCACUGCCCUGUCGUCUGGGCCCAGCACACAGCAGGGCAGGUAAGACUCACACUGGCACCUGGCCCUGCAGUUAGUUCGCUGAGGCAGCAAGCAGUGAGGAGCGCCCAGCAGGAUGUGAAGAGACCUGAAGAGGGACUAGAGUGGCCACUUGCUGUGUGUGGGAAGGGGCCAGCAGGGAGGUAGGUGGGUGAUGGGUCUGCUCUGUGACCCCACCAGAGAUGUGCCAGGGAGGGAUAGUAGCUGCCAGGUCUGGGUCAGGGGUACUAGCAGACCAGGGGCUCUUCUCCAGUGGUGCUCCCUGCCCUCCCUACUCCUCCCCCAAGCUAUUGCCCUUCCCCUCAUCACCUGUAGUUUCUUACACAGGGAUCAAAAGAGAUCCCCUGCAUCUCUCAGUAACCCCAGCCCAGGCUUGCCCAGCUGGGCACCAUGUACAUACCCGCUGUUUUUGGGCUUUUUGUGUGUAUGAGGAAGAUUGGCCCUGAGCUACCAUCUGUUGCCAAUCCUCUUUUUGCUUGAGGAAGAUUGUCGCUGAGCUAACAUCUGUGGCAGUCUUCCUCUAUUUCUUUUAUGUGGGAUGCCACCACAGAGCAGCUUGAUGAGUGGAGCUAGGUUGGCACACAUGAUCUGGCAAACCCAGGGCUGCUGAAGCCAGCCCGCAAAUUAAACCCCUAUGCCACCAGGCUGGCCCCUAGGGUCCUCCUUUUUUGCUGACUAGUCCUUUCAUAGAACAUCUGUCAGAAUAGGCCUCAGCUCAGUGCCCAGAAGGCUUAGUUAGCCCAUAUGCUGGACACCAGGGUGUCCCAGUGCUGAGGGUCAUUCUUCCCAAUUUUCCCAGUAACCCGUCUGUCCUCCAGAUUAACAAACAAGUUCAGAGGAUCAGUGCCUUGCUCAGUCCACACCUCGGGUUGUGGCUGGUGAGCCAGGGCCGGGGGCUUCCACAUUUCCACUGUAUUUGCCACAUCAACACAAAGUCUCACCAAAUUCAGAAUAACUAAUCUCUGCAAAGGUCUAGCCUGGCGCAGUUUCCUCCCCUUGCAGACGAUUCCAGGCUCCAGGCCUACCCCCCUAACAGAUCCGGGAUGACGAGAACCCCUGGGGUCCACCAGCCAACCCAAGCUACACGCCUACCACGCCCAUUCUAUUCCACUUAGAGGAAAAGGAGAGCGGUUCAAAGGUUUAAAGCAUUUAUUGUGCUCCCGCAAAGGCUGACGGGAUGGAAGGAGGCGCGGGGCCGUCACGCGCCCCGAGCGACUGUUUGCCUCGCACCCAAAGGCGGGGGGCGGUGGGGGGAGGGAGGGGCUGGUGAGCUGGAAAGGACGGCGAGGAGGCCCUGGCUCCGGCUGUGACCGGCUGGUACGGCCUCCGCCAUUGGCGUACAGGAGCUGGUAACCAUGGCAGCAGCUGUCGCCAAAGGCAAGAGCCAAUGGGGGCGUUGCCCGGGCCAUUUCAAAAAUGUAAAGCAAACGACAACAAAAAAACGCUACAACGGCGGGGGAUGGGAGGGAUGAAAAGGGGAUGGACCGGCUGGAGCCACUCCCUGCGGCUCAGAACAGGCGUCGCGUCCCUGGCCAGGUUAAACGCACAACACCUCCAGACGGUUGGAGUAGAAAAACCGAACCGCGGAGAGACCCAGCUCGCUGGCGGCCCUUGGGAACUUUGCGGACGCUACACUUGGCUGCCUUCAAAACCUUCUUGCCCUCCAAAGCCUUUGAGGAAACUGUUAGUGAUAAUCACAUGGACCUGGAAGAAACUGCUAGUUUUUCGUCGCGGUUCCUUCGAGAAUGGCUGGAGCCCUUUCGUGACCCACAGAAUUUCCGUCAGUGGCCCAACUGCGGGUCUAUGCCUGAGCUGGGUCUCCACAGCCGCUAGCUGAAGGAAGGUGGUGGUUUUGGGCGGGGGGUUGACUGGGGCGAGAGGUUUCGCGGAGGGUGGUGGGUGGCAGAAUUCCUGGAAGGCACGGGGAGAGGCAGGGCCGCCUGGGCUGUGGCCCCAAGGCAUGGACCUCCUCUGCCCACGUACGUCUAGGGGAGGCACCGGUCCCAGGGUCAAGAGACUUUCGGUUGACUCAGCCAUCACUUGGAGCACGACUGGGGAUCUUCGUCGCCCCGCCUCACCGGAUUUCACCCUUCUCGCCGCCCAUCUGACCCCAUGCCCACCCACUGCGGUCCCGAUUGCGGUCCACAGAGGUGCUCCGGCGUGCGCGCCUCUCGCCAACCGGUAAGGCUGCCACUAGGGUGGUGGCUAUGGUGGCAGCUGGGGCAGCGGCGCAGGUUAUUGCGGCAGUGGCGGCAGCUACCUAGAGAUGUGGGACCUCGGGACCUAAGAAGAGGAAGGCAGACACGCUCUGCCCAUCUGUCCCGCGUCUCCCAGCCGUCCUCCUCUCCCCUCCCCGACUCCAGGAGCCCAACUCCGGGAAGUUGAAGCCGGGCUACCAACUGCUCAUGCGCGGGCUAGAGCGCCUCUGGCCUAACAAAGGCCACCGUAGUUGCUAAGCAACGUGGCCGCAGAGUUCUGAGGGAGCCGGAGCGCCUUCUGGUGGUGCAGAGGAGCAGGCACAGGCUGUUUCUGCUGCCUUAGAGAGGAGCUGUGGCCUAUGUUUUCCAGGGGAUCCUGCAGAAGGGAGGGAGGGAAGGAAGAAAGCGUGGUGUGAAGCAAGCCAUCUUCAGUCUGUGUCAAAAUGACCUUGCAACCCCACAUUGCAUGACCGAAGACGCUAGCCGGACAGGUCCUCAAUAGGAAAAGGUAAAGCAGUACCUCGCUUUCACAUUUCACAGUUGCGUUUAUUAGAGAUUAGGGGCAUAAUUUAACGAUGUGCCACGGUCCUUGCCUCCCUCCGCACAUGGAUAACAUCAGGGUCUCUGAACUUGUUUGAUAUAUAACCAAGAAAUUCUUGCUUCUGUUACAUUCAAUGUACAUAAUCUAGAGAAGAGCCCAGCUGUACUCUAUCCCUUUUUUUUAUAACCUACUUGUAAGUUUUUCUUUUUUCCUCUUCCCUUCAUGUCCAGUGUUUUGUGAAACAGAUAGAAAGUAGACUUAAAUUCACACACCUCAGAGCGGUUCCAUCAGAGCAGUCUGUUGAACUGUUUUCCAGGGGGUCAAACACCUCACGCUAAUCGUGGAAUAAGCUCCUUCACUAAUAUAACUUAGACUGUUCAUUUCAGUCGACAAAAGUAAAAAGGAAGGAAAGGAAGGUGGAUAGACGAAUGGGUGGUUAAAGGUCCCAAGAGUGGAGGAUGGCCUGGCAGGGGCCUGGCUGACUCAGCAGGAUCAGGAGACUAUCGGCGGUCAGACUUCCUCAAGUUGGCCUUGACGGUGUGCCUGGGACUGUCCGAAGAGGGGUCUGUCCAGUGGCCCCAAGAAGUGACUGCCUGUGUCCUUCUGGGUGGCUUUGUUCACUCAGGGGCUUCAGCAACUGGAGCCAUAAGCCGAGCCCGUGGAGCUGCCUGUCUGGGUGGGCACUGGGAAUGGGCACCCUGCUGUCUCCAUUCCUCCCGGUCACCUUGUGGCUGUGUUCCUGUGUUUCACUGCGUGGCUGAGUGUGAAUUAUUUUUCCUCCUUGAAGUCUCUCCUGGGCUUUCCUAAGGUGCGUCUGGCUUGGUAAUGGCUUCAGACUAGCAGUUGUAGGACGCCCAUGUCCGUCCAGAGAGGCACCUUUUCAAACAGAACACAAAAGACCUUAUCAGGAAUUGAUUUUACACUUGGAGGAAAAAUGCCAAAAGAAGUCAGAGAACGUGGUGAUAACUCCAACGCCCAAAGUAUCACACCUUCCCCCAAUGCUUCAAUCUUCUCUAACGCUGGUAACAUGAUCCAGAAGAAAGUGGAUUUGGGACGUCGGGACUGACUCCACUACAGAGUUGAUGGCCAACUCGCCCCAGACGCAAUGCCAGUUGAGCUGUCUGUUUUGGCCUACCAGCACUUCAUCUUCUGGCUUCCACUCUUUUCCCUGGGAAGUCCGACGCUGGGGGCUGGGUGCGGUGUUGGCCUCGCGGGGGUGGGAGUUCUUCGGUACCGGGGUUUUUCCUCGGAAACCCCUUACUCUCUCUCUCUGUCCUUUUUUUUUUUUCUUUGGCUUUGUCGACCCUGUCUCCAACCUUCUCAGACUUUGGGUGGGCACUCUGCAUGUUUCCUCUUGGGUCCUGGAUAGGAUAUUCUCCAUCGUGACCCCUCUGGGGGUUCUUCUUGCGGUGCAAAGCCUGGCUGGGGUCAUCGUGGUCAGUCUGGGGAUCUCCAGAGUCUGCCUCAGAAACACUCUCUGCAUCUUGUCUUGCCACCUCCCAAGGCCGCAGGUGUGCGAUGCGAUCUUUCUGUCCCCUGUGCUUGCCUUGGCUCUUCACUCUCUCGCGUGAUCCAGUGCUCCUCCGCUUGGCUGCACUCGUUCGGUCCCCGUGGGUUCACGUUUCCUUCCGCGGCGCCUCUCCUGUUCCUCAACCCUUCUGCUCAGCUCGUGGCUUUUGUUCUGCUUAAGUCACGGACACCCCUCUUUUCCGGUUCCUUGGUUGGCUUGGUUUGGUUUUUCAAUUCAGAAGAGAGACUGACCCUUCCCUAUCAAGACCGAGCACUUCCCUUCCUAGUCUCGCCCCGGCGCCUUUCCCGGACGCUCGUCCCUCCCCCUGCACCCCCUCCAGCAGCCUGUCUCUCGGCAUCAUUCACGUUCAGGGACAACGCGCCGCUUUUCCCUCGGGGAUCCGACGACUUCCGGUGGCCGUGCCCAGAGGUGGGGUGCUGCCCUUGCCGCCUCUUGGAACACGACGGGAGGGGCCCGAGCCCCCGAAAGGCCUGGAGAAGACCCUUCCUGACCAUCACACGAGCCUAGAAGAGACUGCUUCUUCUCCAAAGGGGAUCCUCUGAGGGCGGCUAGAGCCCUUUCAGGGUGAUCCCCACCGUGGAGGGGACAGAGGCCUGACAGGAGAAUGCCCGUCUGUGGCCCAAGCAGCCACCGAGGGUCUGUGCCUGGGCCGGGUCUCCACGGCCAGCUCCUCGACGGCCAUGCCCAGGUACCACCUGAGGGCAGGUGGUGGUUUUCGGGUGGGGUGAAAGGUGGGGAGGGGAGAUGCUUUCGACACCUUCCUGGAAGACCCUGGGAGAGGCAGGGCCCGCUGGGCUGUGGCCCCAAGGCAUGGGCCUCCUCUGCCCACGUCUAGGGGAGGCUCCGCUCCCAGAGUCAGUAGAUUUGCAGUUGAUCCGACCAUCACUUGGAGCGGGACGUGGGGACAUUCAUGGCCCCCGCCUCAGCAGAUUUCAUCUCUCGCACCCCAAUCCCACCCCAUUGCCCCCCACUGCCGUCCAGAUUCGGGUCCACAGAGCGGCCCGUCAUGCCCGGGUCUCACUCUAGUAAGACUGCCACCAGGGUGGCGGUCAUGGUGGCAGUUGGGGCUGAGGGUGUGGCAGCAGGGGCAGCAGUGGAUUUUAUGGUGACAGUGGAGGCAGCCACUCAGAGAUCUGGGAUCUCCGGGACCUUAGGAGGGAAAGGUGGAGGCACCCUGCAAGCCUGCCCUCCUCUCCCUUCCUUCCUCCUCUCCCCACCCCUGUCUACCCACUCAGGGAGCCCAGCCUCCUGCUGCUGAAGCCGGCCAAUCAACUGCGCAUACGCGGGCUCUCUGGAGCCUCGCAACGCCCGCUCCCUUUGCUAAGGAACUUGACCGCGAGGCUCUCAGGGAGCGGGCGCGCCCUCUGGCGGUACCUAGGCGCAAGCACAAGCUGUGACCGGUGAUUUCCUGAGGCGGCUGUGGCCCAUGUUUUCCAGUGGGUCCUUCAGACGCUUGGAUGACAGGAAGGAACAAGGAAGGACGGAGGGAGGUAAGAAGGAGGGAAAGAAGGAAGUUAGGAAGGUAAAAAAGAAGGAAGGGAGGUAGGAAGUUAGGUCAUAAGGGAGAAAAGAAAGAUGAAUAGAAGGAUGAAUGGGUGGUUGGGGCUCCCAAGAGUGGGGCAAAGCCGUUCAGGGGCCUGGCUGAGAAAGCAGCAUCCGGAGCCAGGCGGUGGGAUCCCUUCCUCAAGUCAGCCUGGAGGCUGUGCCUGGAACUGUCUGCCACACCCUCCAAGGGGUCUGCCCUGUGAGCCCAAGAGGGGACUGCCUGUGCGCUUCUGGGUGGCUUUGCUGGCUCAGGGACUUUGGCACCUGGAGCCACAGGCCGAGCCCAGGGAGUCACCAGUCCCCGUGGAGGGACGAGGCUUGCCCUCUGGGCCUGGGCACCCUGCCGUCCCCAUUCCUCACAGUCCCCUCGUGGCUGCGUUGCUGUCUUUCUGCUGUGUGACUGAGUGUGACUUGUUUUUCCUUCCUCCUUGAAGUCUCUCCUGGAUUUUCUUAAGGUGUGCCUGGCUUGACAAUUUCUUCUCACCGGCUGUUGUAGGAAGCCUCUCUCCAUCCUGAGACACACCUUUCCAAACACAAGAUCACGAGAAGACUCGAUCAGGAACUCAUUUGACACUUGGAGGAAAAAUGGCCAAAGAGCUCAGAGAAGGUGCUCAGGCCUCUAACAGGACCACCCUUCCACCCCCCUGCCCCCAGUGCUCAUGAUCAAGAAGAGGAGAGUUGUUUGGGAGAACAGGACCGACUCCACUGCAGACUUUAUGGCCAACUCGCCACUGACUCAUUGCCAGUUGAGCGGUGUAUUUUGGCAUACCAGCACUUCAUCUUCUGGCUUCCACUCUUUUUCCUGGGGAGUCCAACCCCGGGAGCCGGGGGCAUGGUUGGCCAAGGGGGGGGUGGUGUUCUUCGGGACCAGGGUUUUUCCUUGGAAAGCCCUCUUUCUUUGUCUUUUUUUUUCUUUUACUUUGUUGGCCCUGUCUUCAGCUUACUCAGACCUUGGGUGGGUGCUCUACACACUUCCUCUUGAGGUCCUGGAUAGAAUAUUCUUUUCUUUUUUUUUUUUUCAAGAUUUUAUUUUUCCUUUCUCUCCCCAAAGCCCCCGGGUACAUAGUUGUAUAUCUUAGUUGCAGGUCCUUCUAGUUGUGGCAUGUGGGAUGCCGCCUCAGCAUGGCUUGAUGAGUGGUGCCAUGUCCGCGCCCAGGAUCUGAACCAGGAAACCCUGGGCCACCUAAGUGGAGCGGGCGAACUUAACCACUUGGCCAGGGGGCUGUCCCCCAGGAUAGGAUUUUCUUGACCGUGACCCCUCUUGGGGUUCUUCUUGUGGUCCAAAACAUGGCUGGGCUCAUGGUCAGUCUAGGAAUCUCCAAGUAUUGCCUUGGAAACACACUCUCUCCAUCUUGUCUUGCUGCAUCCCAAUGCUACAAGAAUCCGUUGCGAUCUUUCUGUCCUUUGUGCUUGUGUUGGCUCUUCACUCUUUCCCAUGGUCCUGUGCUCCUCGCUUGGCUGCCCACGUUCUAUCCCUGUGGGUUCACUUUUCCUUCAGCGAUGUCUCUCCUGUUCUUCAACCCUUCCGCCCAGACUGUGGCUUCCAUUCUUCUUAAGUCACGGCUCUACCUCUUCUCCAUUUCCUUUAUUCGUUUGGUUUGGUUUUUAAACUCUGUAGAGAGACUCUCUUCUCUUUCUGGACUGAGCAUUUCCCUUCUGUGACUUAAUCACUUGUGUCUUUUGUGGAUGCUGGUAUCUCCCAUGUUCCUUUCCAUGAACCUAUCUUUUGGCACAAUUCACAUCAAGGAAAAUGCACCACUUUUCCCUUUGGGUUCUGAUGCCUUCUGGCUGGCGUCCCCAGAGGUGGGGUGCUGCCAUCACCAGAACUUGGAACACGAUGGGAGGGGCCUGAGCCUGGAAAGCACUUCAGAAAUCUCUUACUGACAAUCACACGGGCCUAGAAGAAACUGCUCCUUCUUCAGCGUGGUUCCAUUGAGAAUGCCUAGAGCCCUUUUAGGAUUAUCCCCACUGUGGAGGUGACAAAGGCCUGACACAGAGAAGUUCCUCAGCGGGCUAAGUGCCCAGCAACAGUCUAUGCCUUGGCUGGGUCUCCAUGUCCAGGUCCUCGACAAUCACGCCCAGCUCUGACAUUUCAGGAGCUUAGAAGCCAUCGCUUCUGUCCUUACAACAAGAGAAAAAACUGAACAAACUGAAAAUGAAUGACUUUUCUUAAACCUAUCAGAGAAUUGAGGUCACAGGGAAAGCCGCCACCCUGAAUUGUGGAGAGAUGGAAAAAUGUGGGUGAUAACAACCAAGAUCAGUUUACUUGGAGCAAAAGCCACUGGAGCCAUAAACUGUUAGGAUCACUUAAAUGAUAAUUUUGAUGAAUUGCUGAAGGAAACCAUGUAAGCAAGAAGACAGUGGAGUGAAAUAUUUAAAGUGUUGGGGGAAAAGACUAGAAUUCUACAUCCAGUGAAAUCACCCCUCAAAAUGAAGGAGAAAUAAAACCUUUCUCAGAGAAACAAAAAUGGAAAGAAUUUGUUGCCAGGAGGUCUGUCUUGCGAGAAAUGUUAAGAGAAGUUCUUUUGAGAGAAGGAAAAUGGUAUAGGUCAGAAGCGAAAGGAAGGAAGAUUGUCAGAGCAGGAAUAAAUGAAGCAGAGACCAACCUUGAGUCCCCGAUAUGGCACCAUUCCCUGUGAGGACCAGCCGGCCAUGUGGCAGAAGGUCGAUUACAUUGGACCUUUUCCAUCAUGGAUGGGACAGAGAUUCAUCCUCACAAGUACAGACACAUAUUAUCUUAGGUUUUCUUUCCCUGCCUGUGAUGUUUCUGCCAGCAUCACCAACCACGGACUCACAGAAUGCUUUAUCCACCAUCUUGGCAUCCCACACAGCCUUUUGUCUGAACAAAAAACUCAUUUCACAGCAAAGGAAGUACGGCAAUGCAUGCACGCCCAUGGAAUUAACUUUCUUACCCCAUGUUUUGCUACCUGGAAUCAGCUGGCCCCACUGAAAGGUGGAAUGACUCACUGAAAAUUCAGUUACAGUGCCGGUUGGAGAUAUCACCCUGAAAGGCUGGAAUUCUGUCUUACAGGAUGCAGAAUAUAUUUGAAUCAGAGACCAUUAUGGCCUCUCCCACACCCUAAUACAUGCUCCAGGAAUGAAGGGGUGAAGUGGGAGUGGCUUCUCUCACUAUAACACCUAAUAGCAGACUCACAGAAUUUGAGCUUUGCUGCUAUGGACAUAUUAGUCCCCAAGGGGGCAAUGUUUCCACUGGGGGACAUACCGGUGGCAAUGGUCGUACUGAAUUGGAAGAUGAGACUUCUUUCUUGAACAUUUUGGGCUCCUUGUAACACUGACCUAAGAGGAAAAAAAAGUUAAGCUACUGGAUGGACUGAUUGAUCCUAAUUACCAAGGAGGAUCAGGUUACUGCUAUACAAUUGAGGUAGGAGGGCUAUGUCUGAAACCCAGGAGAUUCUCUGGCAUUCCUCUUAGUACUUCUCUGCCCAAUAGUAAAGGUUAAUGGGAAAAUGACAGCAAUAAAAAGAAAAACAUGAUCGAGGACUCAGAAUCUUCAGGAAUGAGUGUUUGGGUUACUCUACCAGGUAGAGAACCUAGAGCAUCUGAGGCUGUCACUGAAGGCAAUGGAAAUACAGAAAGGGUCGUUGAAGAUGCAAAUCACAAACAUCAACUAUGGCCUCAUAUCCAAUUACAGACAUGAGGACUGUAGUAGCUUUGCAUAUUUUCUCUUUGCUGGUUAUAUGUAUUUAUUUGUUUAUUCUAACAUCCUUUUUCUUCUCUUUCCUCAUUUUUAUUUUAUAUGCAAGUUGUUGGAGGUUAACUUUACAAUUUACUCUUUAGGCAACAGAAUAUUCUGUAGGAUUGUAACCGAAUUUGAGAAGUAAUUAAUGUAGCCAUAAAUAAAUUAAUUAAUAACUAAUAUAGCCAACUGUUGGGACUGUGCAUUUUCACAUUUGGAUAGCUGGUACCUUGCUAGGUAGAAAUGCAGAGUUGUUUUGUUGCUGUACGGGAGCUCAAAAGUGUGUAGAAAAGUAUGCAGAAACUGAGUAGCCAAAGCAGUUGACAAUGUGCGGUUAUCAAUUUAUUGCCUCUCAGCUCCAAAUUUACUCUUCAAUACCUGCUCUGUGAAAAUGGACUGGAUUCUUCAAGCCUUUCCUCUUUACAGUGAGUAUGAUGUGAAACGUUGUCAGUAGAGGGCGCUGGAGGAGGAAGGGGCUUCUCUUCCUGGUUCUGGCUGCUGCAUUUUGCUUUUUCUUGCUCUUGCUUUGUGGUCCAUGGGGUGUGUGUAUGUGAAAACAUUCAAUGAUGCUCAGCACCAGCUGUGCUCCAGAGCAUGCAGUCUCUCGGAGAUCUUGCCAAUCUGGCCUGGGCUCAGUGACCACCUUGCUGAGGCCCUCCUGAUGAGACACUCACACACAUAGUGGAAUCGCAACUCUCUCUGUAUACCUGCCCAUCAGCUUUGGCUUGCAUGUGCCAUGGAAGGCUAUUUCCUGCAGCCCUUCUGAUGUGGAUACCCUGCAUCUCACCCUCGUGCCUGCGGUGCCACUCCCACACUGAGUACUUGGCAACCCAGCAAACUUCUCUGCCAUCCAGUGGGAUGUAACUACAUCUCUACUGAGGUCUGAAACCCAGCCUCUGGGAGGGACCCUCCUUCCAACUUUGUCCUUCUUUAGGUACUCUCCCUCAGCCCGUGUCUGGUAUUUUCACCGUAAGCAUCUUUGCCAUAGACAUCUUUCCUGCAUGUGUUUUCACUGCAGACAUUUUCACUGCAUAACUAAUUGGCCAUAAGGCAAUUUUGUUAUCAAAGAUGAAAUAAUGAAUAAUAAAAGAGGGAUAUUAAAAAGGAUAUAAUAAAACAUGAAAAAUGAAUAAUAAAAUUAAAAAGACAUUGCAAAAUACAAAAUAUUUGAAUACAUUUAAAAUAUGUGUAGAUUCAUGGCAAUAAUGAGCAAAUAACUGAUUUUAUUUUGUGGGUUGUACCUAAGCACUUGUCUGCAAAGUCUUUCAUUCACAAUAUAUAUAUUUUUUUGCUUGUUGAUUCAUUUCCUCAUUUGGCAUCCAUCACACUUUUUCUUUUUUGCUAAAACUUCUUCCUUCAUUAAGAGAGAUAUCAGUUUCCAAAUACUAGGAUGCAUAUUUGUAACUGAGCUUUGUAUUGCAUUGUGAAAAGCCUUCUACACUGUUCUUUGUUCUUGGCUCAUGUCUGUGGAUAGAUGUUCCAGAGUUCUAUGGGAAAUGCAAAGCUAAGAUUUAUUUAAUAUAAAAAUGAGAGUAUUGUGUCAAUGGAGAAAUGAAACCACACUGUCAAGCAGUUGAAACCAAAUUGUCAAACCAAACUGUUACCCAGUUAUUUUAUCUUUUAUGGCAAAAUUGCCUUACGACCAAUUAGUUAUACAGUGAAAAUGUUCACAGCAAAAAUGCUUGUGGCAAAGAUGUCUAUGGCAAAGAUACUUGCUUAUGGCAAAAGUACCCUAAGGGUUCUUUGAUGUCUUUAUAGUUACUCUCAUCAUUGCUUAAUAAUUCUUUAUAUUAAACUUCUGUUUAAAUUCUGGUGCAGUUUCUGUUUCCUGACUGAACCCAAACUAGUACAAACUGACUAUAGGAAUUGGGUGCUGAUACAAAAAGCUUCUCAUCCAUUUUUGGCAAAAGCCCACCGUCAUUAAUUUCUCCAGGAUACCCAACUCCUAAAAGUCUCAUAAGGUAGGACAGUUUGCCUUCUGCCUCCUUGACAGAUUAUAAGCUCCACAAUAAACACUCUCAUCUUUUUCUCCAAGAUACGUGUUUCUGCCCAUCAGUCCUCCUAUAAGAACAUUGGGCAUGACGGAGAAGCUCAGCAACUUGAAAAUGAAUACCUGUUUAUAGUAAUGUCAUAUUUUUAUGGAAGUUAAAUUCAAAAGUCAGGAACAAAAUAAAAAAUUGGUUGUAUUCCAAAUCAUCCUAUAAAAUAUCGUAAGUGGUUCACAAAGCAUAAAACAUGGAUUGAUUAUCCAACACUGAAGAAUAAUGUGUGUAUAUAUAUAUAUGUGUUAACCGUACAUCAUUAACAUGCAUAUAUAAUAAAAGGCCCAUAUACUAAAUAUAAUUUCAUGAUUCAUAUUUAUACAAAAGAGUAACACAUAUAUAUUAAUUUAUGUGCAAAAGUAACACACACCUUAUAUUAAAUGUGCAUAUGAUUAUUGGCAAAUCGGAGACUCAGUCCUAAGUUAUCAGCCCUCAGGUUACUUACCAAUUAGAAAGGAAAAAAUAUCACUUUACAAUGGAAAUAUCUGGCCAUUACCACUUUAACUAAGUGAUCAAGUUUAGCAUCACCAAUAGUGAAAUGACCUGACCUCAUGUUUCUCCUCGUGUGAUACAAGAGGACACAACCUUGUCUAUGUAGUACCCUUGCUAACUUGUUUAACCUGGAUUUUACCAUGAGAAAAUAAACAGACAAAUCCAGACUAUAAGACA